GUGGGGAAUAUUGCGCAAUGGGGGAAACCCUGACGCAGCAAUACCGCGUGAGUGAAGAAGGUUUUCGGAUCGUAAAACUCUUUUAUUGGGGAAGAAGAAGUGACGGUACCCAAUGAAGAAGUCCCGGCUAACUACGUGCCAGCAGCCGCGGUAAUACGUAGGGGACAAGCGUUGUCCGGAAUCACUGGGCGUAAAGGGCGCGUAGGCGGUUUUAUAAGUCAGAUGUGAAAGGUACCGGCUCAACCGGUGACGUGCAUUUGAAACUGUAAGACUUGAGUGCUGGGGAGGCAAGUGGAAUUCCUAGUGUAGCGGUGAAAUGCGUAGAUAUUAGGAGGAACACCGGUGGCGAAGGCGGCUUGCUGGACAGAUACUGACGCUGAGGUGCGAAAGCGUGGGGAGCGAACAGGAUUAGAAACCCUGGUAGUCC
rnacentral:rRNA from 1 species